rnacentral:rRNA from 1 species
ACGGGAGGCAGCAGUGGGGAAUAUUGGGCAAUGGGCGAAAGCCUUACCCAGCAAUACCGCGUGAGGGAAGGAGGUCUUCGGAUUGUAAACCUCUUUGAUCAGGGACGAAGAAAGUGACGGUACCUGAAGAACAAGCCCCGGCUAACUACGUGCCAGCAGCCGCGGUAAUACGUAGGGGGCGAGCGUUGUCCGGAAUGACUGGGCGUAAAGGGUGCGUAGGCGGCUAAGCAAGUUAGAAGUGAAAUACCUAGGGCUUAACUCAGGUGCUGCUUUUAAAACUGUUUGGCUGGAGUGCAGGAGAGGUUAAUGGAAUUCCUAGUGUAGCGGUGGAAUGCGUAGAUAUUAGGAGGAACACCAGAGGCGAAGGCGAUUAACUGGACUGUAACUGACGCUGAGGCACGAAAGUGUGGGGAGCAAACAGGAUUAGAUACCCUGGUA